GGGGAUAUAGCUCAAUUUUUGGUAGAGCGUGUGUUUUGCGUACAUAAGGUUGUCGGUUCAAGUCCGGUUAUCUCCA
rnacentral:tRNA from 1 species